rnacentral:rRNA from 1 species
AGGUUUGAUCAUGGCUCAGAGCGAACGUUAGCGGCGCGCUUAAUACAUGCAAGUCGUACGAGAAAGCACCUUCGGGUGUGAGUAGAGUGGCGCACGGGUGCGGAACACGUAGGCAAUCUACCCCUUGGCGGGGGAUAACUACUCGAAAGGGUAGCUAAUACCGCAUGAGACCACGGUCACUUCGGUGACAGGGGUUAAAGCUGGCCUCUUCAUGAAAGCUAGCACCAGGGGAUGAGCCUGCGGCCCAUCAGCUUGAUGGUAGGGUAACGGCCUACCAUGGCUAAGUACGGGUAGCUGGUCUGAGAGGAUGAUCAGCCACACUGGCACUGGAACACGGGCCAGACUCCUACGGGAGGCAGCAGUAGGGAAUCUUGGACAAUGGGCGAAAGCCUGAUCCAGCGACGCCGCGUGAGUGAUGGAAGG